rnacentral:rRNA from 1 species
GCUUGUCUCAAAGAUUAAGCCAUGCAUGUCUUAGUGUAAAUAACUCUUAUGAAACUGCGAAUGGCUCAUUAAAUCAGUUAUCAAAUACGUGAUGGUCGCCUACUACAUGGAUAACCGUAGUAAUUCUAGAGCUAAUACAUGCAUCAAGCCUCGACGUUUGGAGAGGCGUAUUUAUUAGAUAAAAAACCAAUGCCCUUGCGGGCUGCUUGGUGAAUCAUGAUAACGCAACGAAUCGCAUGGCCCUGCGCCGGCGAUGGUUCAUUCAAAUUUCUGCCCUAUCAACUUUCGAUUGUAGUUUAGUGGACUACAAUGGUUUCAACGGGUAACGGGGAAUUAGGGUUCGACUCCGGAGAGGGAGCCUGAGAAACGGCUACCACAUCCAAGGAAGGCAGCAGG